UACGAAGGGGGCUAGCGUUGCUCGGAAUCACUGGGCGUAAAGGGCGUGUAGGCGGGAAGGAAAGUCAGAUGUGAAAUCCCCAGGCUCAACCUGGGAACUGCAUUUGAAACUCCCUUCUUGAGUACCGGAGAGGAAAGUGGAAUUCCUGGUGUAGAGGUGAAAUUCGUAGAUAUCAGGAAGAACACCAGUGGCGAAGGCGGGUCUCUGGGCCGAUACUGACGCUGAGGAGCGAAAGCGUGGGGAGCGAACAGG
rnacentral:rRNA from 1 species